rnacentral:rRNA from 1 species
GAUGAACGCUGGCGGCGUGCCUAAUACAUGCAAGUCGAGCGAACAGACGAGGAGCUUGCUCCUCUGACGUUAGCGGCGGACGGGUGAGUAACACGUGGAUAACCUACCUAUAAGACUGGGAUAACUUCGGGAAACCGGAGCUAAUACCGGAUAAUAUAUUGAACCGCAUGGUUCAAUAGUGAAAGACGGUUUUGCUGUCACCUAUAGAUGGAUCCGCGCCGCAUUAGCUAGUUGGUAAGGUAACGGCUUACCAAGGCAACGAUGCGUAGCCGACCUGGGAGGGUGAUCGGCCACACUGGAACUGAGACACGGUCCAGACUCCUACGGGAGGCAGCAGUAGGGAAUCUUCCGCAAUGGGCGAAAGCCUGACGGAGCAACGCCGCGUGAGUGAUGAAGGUCUUCGGAUCGUAAAACUCUGUUAUUAGGGAAGAACAAAUGUGUAAGUAACUAUGCACGUCUUGACGGUACCUAAUCAGAAAGCCACGGCUAACUACGUG